AACGCACAUUGCGCCCUGUGGUAUUCCGCAGGGCAUGCCUGUUCGAGCGUCAUUACAACCCUCAAGCUCUGCUUGGUGUUGGGCCACACCGGUAACGGUCGGCCCUAAAAUCAGUGGCGGUGCUGUCAGGCCCUAAGCGUAGUAAUCUUUCUCGCUACAGGGUCCUGCUACGUGCUCGCUAGACAACCCCCAUUCUAUGGUUGACCUCGGAUCAGGUAGGGAUACCCGCUGAACUUAA
rnacentral:misc_RNA from 1 species